rnacentral:rRNA from 1 species
UACAGAGGUCUCAAGCGUUGUUCGGAUUCAUUGGGCGUAAAGGGUGCGUAGGCGGCGCGGUAAGUCGGGUGUGAAAUCUUGGAGCUUAACUCCGAAACUGCAUUCGAUACUGCCGUGCUUGAGGACUGGAGAGGAGACUGGAAUUCAUGGUGUAGCGGUGAAAUGCGUACGAUAUCGAGUGAAGAAGCCGGUGGCGAAGGCGGGUCUC